rnacentral:rRNA from 1 species
CCUACGGGGGGCAGCAGUAGGGAAUCUUCCACAAUGGACGAAAGUCUGAUGGAGCAACGCCGCGUGAGUGAAGAAGGGUUUCGGCUCGUAAAGCUCUGUUGGUAGUGAAGAAAGAUAGAGGUAGUAACUGGCCUUUAUUUGACGGUAAUUACUUAGAAAGUCACGGCUAACUACGUGCCAGCAGCCGCGGUAAUACGUAGGCGGUAAGCGUUGUCCGGAUUUAUUGGGCGUAAAGCGAGUGCAGGCGGUUCAAUAAGUAUGAUGUGAAAGCCUUCGGCUCAACCCGAGAAUUGGAUCAGAAAAAG